ACCCAUGUAGAGGGACACUACCUCUACAUUUGGUGACCCGAACGAUGAACAUCAAGCUCGGAGCAAUUCGGCCCUUCACCAUCCCAAAUUUCUGACGACACCAUCGACUAGCACUACCACGGCACGCUCUCCCUGGAAGCCACCGCCAUUACUCGGCUCAUCACGACGACAUCACGACCGCUGCUCGCCUCUCGAUCAACACGCAGACAGCUCCCGUGCCGCUUCCGUCCACACUUCCGAUCCGCUACCGACCCGACCGACCGACCCGCAACGACACGACCGCUCAAUGAUCAUCGCAUCUGCCCACCGACCAUCGCUUCAUGGCUUCCAGGGACCGACCUGCGCUGUCCACGGCCUCCGGCACACGACCUACUGCUUCAUUUCAUGCAUUUCGACGCUCAUCCCCUGCCGGCCGCGACACCAGAGCAAAGUGCUCGCCUGCCGGUUUCGGCAGUCGUGGCAGCUGACGCCACGGCACGUCUUCAGCCGGCGUCUCGGCAGCCAUCUCGGCUAACACAGCCUCGCUAUUCCUGGGAUCGACCCUACGAGCUCUCGCGCUCUCGCUCCCGUGCCGGUUGCGGCACGCCACGACUCUGACGCUCGACUCCGACGCCCAACGACAUCACCCCUCAUCUGGCCCGCUCAUCGACAGUUUCUGCCAACGGGUGUUGUGCCGUGCCACGAACACAUCGAAUAGUGCACGUCUUCCACGGUCGAUCCUGCUCUCUUUCUCCUGUGUUGACGUCGGUCAUCGUACUUCUUUGUCGCCGCUCCGCGUCUGAGCGGGGAGCACUGUAGCAGGCCGUGGACAACGACGAAGAUGGCCACGCCGCCUGGAGCACCGGCCUCAGUUCCAUCAGCGCGGCCAUGGAGAUAGGCCACCGUCAUCGCCUCUCCGUGGCAUACCAUCACCGUCGGUCGGGACUCAUGUAGAGGAACUCCACCUCCUCUACACAUGUAUCGAUAACCAGAGCGUCCCGAGGAUGUCAAGGUUCGAAUGCUGCUUGCUGGUUCAUGAUGAUGGCAGUGCGCAAAGCCGCCGUGCAGUCACACCGAAACGCCACACCGCCUGACAUUUACCAGACGAGCGCCCCCAUUGCAUAAUGACGACGUAGAGAACAGUCAACCUUAUGCACCAUGAUCUGGUAAUUAAAGGGGUCGUGAAAUGAUUUUCUCACUUAUGGAGGAGUCAUAUGUUGAUGGCAAGGAGCUUUGUCUCCCGAAGCUACUAAGCAAUAGUUUUGUCGUCCAUGCAAUAUCGGCUUCGGACAUUAUUGCAUACCGGAAACCGGGCACCAUGGGAAAGGCGCCGUCGCUCUCACCCUCGGUUCUCACAAAUAUAAUGCGCAUCAUACUGGACAACCAGAGCUCUGCGGACAAUGACAUGCGCACACUCCUCUUCGUGGGAGGGUGCGAGGCUGACCUGCUUUCAUGGUAACCCUCUGCUCCUCCGUAGGAAAAUUGCCUGUUCAGAGCCUGUUCGGCGUUGGGCGAUGCCUAUCGAGCGUUCGAAAGCGCAUUCUUUCUUUCUUUUUGCGUCAAUGUCAUUAAGAAAGUAGUGUGCUCCGGAGACAAGUCUUCUUUGUACAUAUGGGCAACAACACUACAAACAAUGCAUUAACUAUUUGUGGUUAGAGAUUGCACCUUGAUAUGAGAAUGUAGCGUGUGCCGUAUACGCCCGGAAAAAACGUCAGCCUCCAGCUUACAAAUCAU